rnacentral:rRNA from 1 species
AAAUUGAAGAGUUUGAUCAUGGCUCAGAUUGAACGCUGGCGGCAGGCCUAACACAUGCAAGUCGAACGGUAACAGGAAACAGCUUGCUGUUUCGCUGACGAGUGGCGGACGGGUGAGUAAUGUCUGGGAAACUGCCUGAUGGAGGGGGAUAACUACUGGAAACGGUAGCUAAUACCGCAUAACGUCGCAAGACCAAAGAGGGGGACCCUCGGGCCUCUUGCCAUCGGAUGUGCCCAGAUGGGAUUAGCUUGUUGGUGGGGUAACGGCUCACCAAGGCGACGAUCCCUAGCUGGUCUGAGAGGAUGACCAGCCACACUGGAACUGAGACACGGUCCAGACUCCUACGGGAGGCAGCAGUGGGGAAUAUUGCACAAUGGGCGCAAGCCUGAUGCAGCCAUGCCGCGUGUAUGAAGAAGGCCUUCGGGUUGUAAAGUACUUUCAGCGGGG